rnacentral:rRNA from 1 species
AUUGAACGCUGGCGGCAUGCUUUACACAUGCAAGUCGAGCGGCAGCGCGGGGUUCAGGCAACUGAGCCCUGGCGGCGAGCGGCGAACGGGUGAGUAAUACAUCGGAACGUACCCAGGAGUGGGGGAUAGCCCGGCGAAAGCCGGAUUAAUACCGCAUACGAUCUGUGGAUGAAAGUGGGGGACCUAAGGGCAACUGAGGGCCUCACGCUUUUGGAGCGGCCGAUGUCCGAUUAGCUAGUUGGUGGGGUAAAGGCCUACCAAGGCGACGAUCGGUAGCUGGUCUGAGAGGAUGAUCAGCCACACUGGGACUGAGACACGGCCCAGACUCUACGGGAGCAGCAGUGGGAAUUUUGGACAAUGGGGCAACCCUGAUCCAGCCAUGCCGCGUGC